rnacentral:lncRNA from 1 species
UUAUGAUGUGCCUCUAGUUUAGUUUGUCGGUUUGUGCGAACCGAUUUUCUCUAUGUAUGAUGAUGAUGUAUUGCUGUUGUUAGCUGUAAACAUGAGUUGACUUGAUGGCUGUCAUUGGAAUGGAUUAUCUCUUGUGAAGCUUACUGCUAGUUAAUAUGAGUUAAACUAUGACCAUUAUCUUCCUGAUCAAUCAGUUAAUAUGAGUUUGUAGAAGGCAAGAAGUUGCCGUAAAGCUCAAGGAAGGAGAGCUACUGGUGAAUGCAUAACUACCAUUUACCCAUGUCUGGCCUCAUUUAACUUGCAAGAUACCACUUUGAUUUAUU